UACGGAGGAUGCAAGCGUUAUCCGGAAUGAUUGGGCGUAAAGCGUCCGCAGGUGGCUGUGUAAGUCUGCUGUCAAAGAGCAAAGCUCAACUUUGUAAAGGCAGUGGAAACUACACGGCUAGAGUGCGUUCGGGGCAGAGGGAAUUCCUGGUGUAGCGGUGAAAUGCGUAGAGAUCAGGAAGAACACCGGUGGCGAAGGCGCUCUGCUAGGCCACAACUGACACUGAGGGACGAAAGCUAGGGGAGCGAAUGGG
rnacentral:rRNA from 1 species